rnacentral:rRNA from 1 species
UACGUAGGGAGCAAGCGUUGUCCGGAAUCAUUGGGCGUAAAGCGCGCGUAGGCGGCCUCGUAAGUCCGUUGUGAAAGUCAAAGGCUCAAUCUUUGAAAGCCGAUGGAUACUGUGAGGCUAGAGUCCGGAAGAGGCGAGUGGAAUUCCUGGUGUAGCGGUGGAAUGCGCAGAUAUCAGGAAGAACACCGGUGGCGAAGGCGGCUCUCUGGGCCUUACCUGACGCUGAGGAGCGAAAGCGUGGGGAGCGAACAGG